rnacentral:lncRNA from 1 species
CUCUGUCCUGUUACCGUUGUCCUGUUACUCAAGAUUCUUUCAUGUUACCGACAUCUCUGACUAUAUUUUAGUAUAUUACUAAACCUUUUGUAUUACAAAUGCUAAAAUCAAUAAUUGGCAUUUACUAAACUAUUGCAGGAUAUACUAGUAAACCACAAAUAGUGUUUUAAACUUAUUCCUUAUUCCCAUUAGAAACUUUUUAAAAUUGAUUCAUUUUGGUAACAGGAAAGAACUGGAAUUAUUUUGUACCAUUUUUGAAAUUGCAAUUGUUACCACAUUUAACAAUUGUUUGAGUUACAGACAACAGUUCAUAGAUCCCCAAUGUGUGUUCUUCGAUUUGUGCUAUUAAAAUAC